rnacentral:misc_RNA from 1 species
UAUUCUCAAUUCAUCAGGUCUUUUGUUAGACUCUGGUGGUAUUGGACUUGGAGGCAAUUGCUGGCAUCUCUCAGAAGCCAGCUCCUCUCAAAUGCAUUAGUGUGAAUGUUCACUUCAUGCUCAGUGUGAUAAUUAUCUGCACUGUGUUUGGGUGUUAUAGGUUCAUGCUUCAAACUGUCGCGAGACAAACACUUUGAC